GACGAACGCUGGCGGCGUGCUUAACACAUGCAAGUCGAACGGAAAGGCCCUGCUUUUGUGGGGUGCUCGAGUGGCGAACGGGUGAGUAACACGUGAGUAACCUGCCCUUGACUUUGGGAUAACUUCAGGAAACUGGGGCUAAUACCGGAUAGGAGCUCCUGCUGCAUGGUGGGGGUUGGAAAGUUUCGGCGGUUGGGGAUGGACUCGCGGCUUAUCAGCUUGUUGGUGGGGUAGUGGCUUACCAAGGCUUUGACGGGUAGCCGGCCUGAGAGGGUGACCGGCCACAUUGGGAUUGAGAUACGGCCCAGACUCCUACGGGAGGCAGCAGUGGGGAAUAUUGCACAAUGGGCGGAAGCCUGAUGCAGCAACGCCGCGUGCGGGAUGACGGCCUUCGGGUUGUAAACCGCGUUCGCCUGUGACGAAGCGUGAGUGACGGUAAUGGGUAAAGAAGCACCGGCUAACUACGUG
rnacentral:rRNA from 1 species